rnacentral:rRNA from 1 species
UAUCACAAGUGCGAAUGCUGACAUAAGUAACGAUAAAACGAGUGAAAAACUCGUUCGCCGGAAGACCAAGGGUUCCUGUCCAACGUUAAUCGGGGCAGGGUGAGUCGGCCCCUAAGGCGAGGCUGAAAAGCGUAGUCGAUGGGAAACGGGUUAAUAUUCCCGUACUUGGUAAAGCUGCGAUGUGGGGACGGAGAAGGUUAGGUUAGCAGACUGUUGGAUGUCUGUUUAAGUUGGUAGGUGGGAAGUUUAGGCAAAUCCGGACUUCCAUAACACUGAGAGAUGAUGACGAGUUUCUACGGAAAUGAAGUAACUGAUACCACGCUUCCAGGAAAAGCCACUAAGCGAAAGGCUUUACUAAACCGUACUGAAAACCGACACAGGUGGUCAGGUAGAGAAUACUCAGGCGCUUGAGAGAACUCGGGUGAAGGAACUAGGCAAAAUAGCACCGUAACUUCGGGAGAAGGUGCGCUGGCGUAGGUUGUAAGAGUAUACCUCCGAAGGCUGAACCAGUCGAAGAUACCAGCUGGCUGCAACUGUUUAUUAAAAACACAGCACUCUGCAAACACGAAAGUGGACGUAUAGGGUGUGAUGCCUGCCCGGUGCUGGAAGGUUAAUUGAUGGUGUUAUCGAAAGAGAAGCUCCUGAUCGAAGCCCCAGUAAACGGCGGCCGUAACUAUAACGGUCCUAAGGUAGCGAAAUUCCUUGUCGGGUAAGUUCCGACCUGCACGAAUGGCAUAAUGAUGGCCAGGCUGUCUCCACCCGAGACUCAGUGAAAUUGAAAUCGCCGUGAAGAUGCGGUGUACCCGCGGCUAGACGGAAAGACCCCGUGAACCUUUACUAUAGCUUGACACUGAACAUUGAAUUUUGAUGUGUAGGAUAGGUGGGAGACUAAGAAGCAGGCACGCCAGUGCUUGUGGAGUCGUCCUUGAAAUACCACCCUUUAACGUUUGAUGUUCUAACGAAGAUUACGAAACGUGGUCUCGGACAGUGUCUGGUGGGUAGUUUGACUGGGGCGGUCUCCUCCCAAAGCGUAACGGAGGAGCACGAAGGUUUGCUAAUCACGGUCGGACAUCGUGAGGUUAGUGCAAUGGUAUAAGCAAGCUUAACUGCGAGACAGACAAGUCGAGCAGGUGCGAAAGCAGGUCAUAGUGAUCCGGUGGUUCUGAAUGGAAGGGCCAUCGCUCAACGGAUAAAAGGUACUCCGGGGAUAACAGGCUGAUACCGCCCAAGAGUUCAUAUCGACGGCGGUGUUUGGCACCUCGAUGUCGGCUCAUCACAUCCUGGGGCUGAAGUAGGUCCCAAGGGUAUGGCUGUUCGCCAUUUAAAGUGGUACGCGAGCUGGGUUUAGAACGUCGUGAGACAGUUCGGUCCCUAUCUGCCGUGGGCGUUGGAGAAUUGAGAGGGGCUGCUCCUAGUACGAGAGGACCGGAGUGGACGCAUCACUGGUGUACCAGUUGUCUCGCCAGAGGCAUUGCUGGGUAGCUAAAUGCGGAAGAGAUAAGUGCUGAAAGCAUCUAAGCACGAAACUCGCCUUAAGAUGAGUUCUCCCUAGCUAUAAGCUAGUAAGGGUUGUUGAAGACUACGACGUAGAUAGGUCUGGUGUGUAAGCGGUGUGAGCCGUUGAGCUAACAGAUACUAAUUGCCCGAGAGGCUUAACUAU